rnacentral:rRNA from 1 species
AACGAACGCUGGCGGCAGGCCUAACACAUGCAAGUCGAACGAGAAGCCGGAGCUUGCUCUGGUGGAAAGUGGCAGACGGGUGAGUAACGCGUGGGAACCUACCCAAGGGUUCGGGAUAACUCAGGGAAACUUGAGCUAAUACCGGAUACGCCUUGCGAGGGAAAGAUUUAUCGCCCCUGGACGGGCCCGCGUCGGAUUAGCUUGUUGGUGGGGUAAUGGCCUACCAAGGCUACGAUCCGUAGCUGGUCUGAGAGGAUGAUCAGCCACACUGGGACUGAGACACGGCCCAG